AACACGGACCAAGGAGUCUAACAUGCAUGCGAGUCGAAGGGGCCCAUCAAACCCCGUAGGCGAAGUGAAGGUGAGGCGAGAGCUUUCAUCUCUCAAGGCAGGAUCCUGGUUCCAAUGGAGCCCAGGCGCACUGCCGGCCCGUCCAUCAGUUGGCGAUGCUUGCGUUGCCGACUGGGGCGGAGCUAGAGCAUGCACGUUGGGACCCGAAAGAUGGUGAACUAUGCAUGGGCAGGACGAGGCCAGAGGAAACUCUGGUGGAAGUCCGUAGCGAUUCUGACGUGCAAAUCGAUCGUCGGACCUGUGUAUAGGGGCGAAAGACUAAUCGAACCAUCUAGUAGCUGG
rnacentral:rRNA from 1 species